UGUUAUAUGAGCCCUUUACUUAUAGUCCGGUUCUUUUGGUCUAUGCCCGACUAUGGCCAGUGGCCUAAUCCUACAUACAUGUGCCUCUUUAUAAGCUAGUGUUUGGCCGUGAUCCACGGCUAUACUAUAAGAUCUGUUCCGCUGUCCCGUCGAAAAUCGCGACUUGUUUAUGCGCCGCCUGAACGAGUCGGCGCGCUCUAAUGACGUCAUACGUCGUAUGUCGACGCAGGAAUGUGCUCUAUUUAAGGGAGACACAGGUGCAUCCGCUUUGUGUUGCCUUGUGUACACCCUGGGACACAGACAUCUGUCAUACACGCUGCUUUGUGGCAAGUGCUGCUAUCUGUGUGCCCCUAGACAUUCCUUUGGCGUUCCAUGUGAGUGCUGAUUGUUACAUUCUUAUUUUAUCUUUUCUCACUCGUAGGCCUCUUGCAUUGACUGCAGUGUCUGUCUACUGACGGCGUUACCGGCUUAAACAUUUCCAUAAUUGGAUUCAUAUGCUGUGUAUUGUGGCCAUUCUCUGCUGUCCCAGUAAGCCCGAGACCAUCCUAAUUAGUCUUUUUGAGCUGUGUACUCUGCCUGGGAUUUUCUAACCCUGAAAUCCACGGACCAUUCGUUUGACCUUUAUUGGUCACCUAAGAUCCCUGGUGUGGUGUGUGAAAAUUCCUGCCAAAACUUCACUUUCGACGUGUGCUGUCGUUUACUGUGUAUCAUAUGUGCCUCAUGGAUAUUUCCGCUGAAGGACCAUCUGUCAUGUAAUUAUACAUUAAGACAUUCAUUUUUUUAAUUAAUUUUUUCUUUUUUAUAUAUAUGUUAUUAACCCUUUACACUGUAUCAUUACAGA